GACCCGUCUUGAAACACGGACCAAGGAGUCUACCUAUUAUGCGAGUGUGAGGGUGUAAAAACCUGAACGCAUACCGAAAGGGAGUAUAAGAUGUGAUAUGUCAAAGUUGCAACAUCGACCAUUCCUGAUCCUCUGGAGAGGGAUAUGAGUAAGAGCAUAAUCGGUAGGACCCGAAAGAUGGUGAACUACACUUGAGUAGGGUGAAGCCAGGGGAAACUCUGGUGGAGGCUCGUAGCGUUACUGACGUGCAAAUCGUUCGUCAAACUUGCGUGUAGGGGCGAAAGACUAAUCGAACUAUCUAGUAGCUGGUUCCUUCCGA
rnacentral:rRNA from 1 species